GUACACGCUGUGACUAGCAUAUCAAUAAGCGGAGGAAAAGAAACUAACAAGGAUUCCCCUAGUAACGGCGAGUGAAGCGGGAAGAGCUCAAAUUUGAAAUCUUAAAGGGUUUCCCUUUACGAAUUGUAGUUUAAAGAAGUGUUUUCUGUUGAGGUUUUGGUAAAAGUUCUUUGGAAUAGGACAUCAUAGAGGGUGAGAAUCCCGUAUUUGACCUUUACUUUCAACUUUGUGAUACACUUUCAAAGAGUCGGAUUGUUUGGGAAUGCAGUCCAAAAUGGGUGGUAAAUUUCAUCUAAAGCUAAAUAUUGGCGAGAGACCGAUAGCGAACAAGUACCGUGAGGGAAAGAUGAAAAGAACUUUGAAAAGAGAGUUAAACAGUACGUGAAAUUGUCAAAAGGGAAGCGUUUGACACCAGUGUUGUUUUUCUGAAAAUCAAUUAAAGAACUGUUUAUGCUAAGUUGUUUAGACUUUAUCAGCUAACUGUUUAGUUUUGAGCUUUUCUUUAAUGCACUUUUCAGUUAACAAGUCAACAUCAAUUUCUUUUGCUGUAAAAAAGCUUGAGGAAGGUGGCUUGAGAUUCGUCUUAAGUGUUUAUAGCCUCUUGCCUAUGCAGUCGGAGAGAUUGAGGUCUGCAGCGUAGAUCCUCCGGGGCUAAAUGCAUUUGUGCUAAGUUAUAGCAUUUUAUAGACAACUUGUUGACUAUGAUUUGUCUUGUAGCUUACUCGCUUAUGUUAUUUUACCUACGCUUAGGAUGUUGAAGAUGUAGCACUCAU
rnacentral:rRNA from 1 species